rnacentral:misc_RNA from 1 species
UUUCCGUAGGUGAACCUGCGGAAGGAUCAUUAUUGUAUAACCGAGGUCCCAUUACUGUCGCUCACCCGAAAGGCCGUGCACGCCCGACUGCCCUCACACUCACCCAUCUCACCCCUAUGUACACCACGGCCUCGGUCCCCCUUAGCCUUGUUCCGAGGGGGUCUUACGUUUUCACACAACCUUUGUAUGCAUUUUAGUAUGUAUUUUUUUUUUUUGCGAUCACGCAUUCUAUACACCUUUCAACAACGGACAUCUUGGCUCUCGCAUCGAUGAAGAACC